UAACAGGUUAAGCUGACGAGUGGCGAACGGGUGAGUAAUAUAUCGGAACGUGCCCAGUCGUGGGGGAUAACUGCUCGAAAGAGCAGCUAAUACCGCAUACGACCUGAGGGUGAAAGCGGGGGAUCGCAAGACCUCGCGCGAUUGGAGCGGCCGAUAUCAGAUUAGGUAGUUGGUGGGGUAAAGGCUCACCAAGCCAACGAUCUGUAGCUGGUCUGAGAGGACGACCAGCCACACUGGGACUGAGACACGGCCCAGACUCCUACGGGAGGCAGCAGUGGGGAAUUUUGGACAAUGGGCGCAAGCCUGAUCCAGCCAUGCCGCGUGCGGGAAGAAGGCCUUCGGGUUGUAAACCGCUUUUGUCAGGGAAGAAAAGGUUCUGGUUAAUACCUGGGACUCAUGACGGUACCUGAAGAAUAAGCACCGGCUAACUACGUGCCAGCAGCCGCGGUAAUACGUAGGGUGCAAGCGUUAAUCGGAAUUACUGGGCGUAAAGCGUGCGCAGGCGGUUAUGCAAGACAGAUGUGAAAUCCCCGGGCUCAACCUGGGAACUGCAUUUGUGACUGCAUAGCUAGAGUACGGUAGAGGGGGAUGGAAUUCCGCGUGUAGCAGUGAAAUGCGUAGAUAUGCGGAGGAACACCGAUGGCGAAGGCAAUCCCCUGGACCUGUACUGACGCUCAUGCACGAAAGCGUGGGGAGCA
rnacentral:rRNA from 1 species